AAACACCAAAAGUAAAAAUACCAGGGGCUUCAGUACUUGCUGUAAUGGAUGAAGAAAUAAAUCAGCGGUCUACUGAAAAAAUUCGUCGCUGGACAUUGAGGAACGCAUCAGAUCCUUUAUCUCACUCAAAUGCAGAAUUUAUAACAUAUUAUCGGCUAAAUAAAGAAGCUUUUGUUUUAGUUUUGGAAAAAAUUUCUCCCCACCUCAAACGUUCCAAUAUACCGGCUAUUAUCCAGCUUGCAACAACGCUUAGGUUUUUGGCUACUGGUGCAUUUCAAAUUCUGAUUAAACUGUUCUCGUGUUCACUGAAACAUAUUGAUUGAUAUCACCACCACCAGUUCCUCGCAAGUCCUUUUUAUUAUGACACAUCUUCGCCUUAACAUUUCCUUUCCAAUCUGACCAAACUUUCUUCCAUUCUUUACAGGUUUUACUUGGUGGACCUGAACUAUUCAGCAAAGCUGUCAAUUCCGUCCAUAGAGAAUCAACAACAACCUUAUCACCUUUUACAUAGCCCCUGGCAAUAUCGUGAUGUUUAUCCAUAAAAUUGAUAAAAAUUUUGUCCUGUUUAACGUUUCGGUGUUUGCCCCUAAAGUAUAAAAUAAAUUAAAUAAACAGUUUUUGACGAAAAUUUAGAAA